ACCAAGGAAAAAAAGGAUUUUUUUGCGAUGAGUAUUGUUAUAACUGGAAGGUAUGCGUUGCUCGAAAAUAUAUUCACCACCGGUUGCCACUUCGUUACUGAUCAGGAUCGAUUGGAGUUGUAAAUCGAAUUUAGUGAAUCCUGCUUGGGAUUUAGCUUUUCGAUGUGCAUCUCCAAUAACCCCUGCAUGCUGAUCAGUACCGACGCCUGCCGGUCCAGAACGUAGAUCAAAGGAAGGAAGGAAAGGGGUGUUAGUUCGAUACUUGUUGUUACUAGAGGCCGGAUAUACUCCUGCACACUCCACAAGCACCACGGGUAUAGGAAUUUUGUGUUAGUUGUUUGUCGCGUUUUUUCUCUACAUACGAUAAAACUCUUGGCGGAGUACGACGGGAAUAACGAGCUUUGUACUAAUAGAGGAACUAACCGACCCUUCCAAUUUUGAACCCGACGUGCACGCACUUUCCCGAGGUUAGUGGUGCUAUCUUCGAUAUAUGAACUCACGAAAGCGCGCCAGGUGCCAACAUGUUUGAAACCUCAUCAUAUUUGCAGUGACGGGAUACAAGCGAAUCGUGGAGGUUAAGUAAUUUCGGUUACCUUACGUAUCGUACGACUCUACGCGUUUCUGCUCAUGAACACCUUAAUUUACCCAUUCACGAAUCAAUGAGUAGCUUUAUUUCGUAAGACGUUAAACUUUAUUCGGAAACUGUAAGCCGACCGCAAUUUUAGAGGAUACAAGAUCUACAACGCGUUUUUCUCUUGUAAUAUAAUUUGGAAUGAGCUAAGUAUCCUAAUGAAUUCAAAAACUGGCAAAUUUACAUGCAUCCAAAGCCCUUAAAAUUCAAAAACAGAAAAUUGCAUCCAACAAGAUUUAAACAUUAUUGAAUAAAAAAAAAUUCAAGUGUAUCAACAUUUGUCCAAAAGCUAGGAAAAUCAUAAAAAUAAUAGGGUUAAAUAUGGUUAAAUGACCGUAACCGAUCAGAACUCUUCAUGACAGACGAAGCACUUAGAUAUUUGUCGCGUGUGAAUGAUAGAUGAUCAAACUCUAUUGUAAAACUAUCAAUUCGAUCUUGUGAAAGUUAGCGUGUUCAAAGAUUUAUAGUAGCAUAUGAAUAUAGUAAAACCUACGACACGCUGAACCGCAUCCGAGCCAAUCUCCGCUUUUCAACCACAUCAAGAAGUUCAAUUUACUACCCCAUGAAAACCAAAAAAAUCUGUAUUAUUUCCAGAAAAUCUGCAAUCUGCAUGCAGAUAUCUGUAUGAAAAAUACGCAAGAAAUCUGUAUAAAAGCAGACAAAUCUAUAUAUGUGGCAUCACUGGUCACAACUGAAAUGAUCUGCUAUAAUUUAGAACCAAACUGCAUCGCCCGAAGGCAAACAAAGCCACCAAUAGCUGUCAAACGCAAGUGCGCGACGUCACCGUGCGAUGGUCUAUUUGCUGAACACACAUUCUCAUGUCAGCCUACUGCAACUUGCAAGUUGAUGCAACGUAAAAAAAUCAUGAACACAUGAACGCGCUACCCAACACACACAGCACCCAGUAAGAAUUGUCAGGCCGAUGUCGGACCAAUUCGCGUCCGAUUCUCCGAUAGAUCGGUCCUACAACGGGUCGACAUUUCGCUCAACAUCGGUCCAAUGUCGUGCUCAAAUGCAACAAAAAUGUCGGACCAGGGUUCAUUCGCUCCUAGGGGUUCAUUCGCCUUCGUGCGUCGCGGGCGAGAGGGAAGUUUAGUUGUGUUUGUUUUGAAGCAAGUCCGGUGCGGCUGGCAUGCGGACUUGGUCAAAACAAACACAACCAAACUUCCCCUGCCGCAAAGAGAUCACGAUGGCGGGGUGUGCGAUUCAAUCUUCAUUGUAUGCGACGCAGCAACGGCGGUGUGCAGGUUGCUUUGUUUUGAUUAUUUUGAUAGCGCGGUUUUGGAUUAGAGCGCUUCAUUUAUUUUAGGAUGGUGCAUGAUUAAUUAUUUUUAUCCACUAUAUAAAAAUGGAUUUACGUAACGCAGAUUUCAUUGAUAUUAUUCCCGCCGUUACUGAGGUGCACAAUAAGCACCAUCAUUUUAAAUCGUUUUAAAUCAAGAAAUUAAGCGGUGACAUGUACGUUAUAUUGCAAUAAAAUAUUCGUAGAGUUCGAAGCAAUAUAUUGGUGAAACAUGUAGGGUUUCUUAAUAAUAAAAAUUGUGAUUUCAUUCACAUAACGUAAAACGUGGUGGCGGGGCUGUGCGAUGCAACAACGACGAUGUGCAGGUUGCUUUAUUUUGAAUAUUUUGAUAGCGCAGCAUUGGAUUAGAGCGCUUCAUUUAUCGGAUGGUGCAUGAUUAAUUAUUUUUAUCCACUAUAUAAAAAUGGAUUUACGUAACGCAGAUUUUAUUAUUAUUAUUCCCGCCGUUACUGAGGUGCACAAUAAGCACCAUCAUUUUAAAUCGUUUUAAAUCAAGAAAUUAAGCGGUGACAUGUACAUUUUAUUACAAGAAAAUAUUCGUAGAGUUUGAAGCAAUAUAUUUGUUAAACAGUUAGGGUUUUUUAAUACUUAAAAUUGUGAUAUCAUUCAAAUAACGUAAACGUGGCGGCGGGGCUGUGCAAUUUAUACCUAGUGGUGUGCGAUGUAGCAACGGCGAAGUGCAGGUUGCUUUAUUUUGAUUAUUUUGAUAGCGCAGUAUUGGAUUAGAGCGCUUCAUUUGUAGGAUGGUGCAUUAUUAAUCAUUUUUAUCCACUUUAUAAAAAUUGGAUUUACGUAACGCAGAUUUUAUUGAUAUUAUUCGCGCCGUUACUGAGGUGCACAAUAAGCACCAUCAUUUAAAAUUGUUUUGAAUCAAGAAAGUAAGCGGUGACAUGUACAUUUUAUUGCAAGAAAAUAUUCGUAGAGUUCGAAGCAAUAUAUUUGUAACAGUUAGGGUUUUUUAAUACUUAAAAUUGUGAUAUCAUUCAGAUAACGAAAAACGUGGCGGCGGGGCUGUGCGAUUAAGAUUUCAUUGUGUGCGCAACGGAAGGGUGCAAGAAUUUUGAUUAUUUUGAUAGCGCAGUAUUAGAUUAGAGCGCUUCAUUUAUAGGACGGAUCAUGAUUAAUAAUUUUUAUCUACUACAUUGAAUCCCUUAACGCAGAUCUUAUUAAUAUUAUUCUCACCGUCUCUGAGGUGCACAAUAACCACUAUCAUUUUAAAUCGUUCUAGAUCAAAAAAGUAAACGGUGACAUGUACGUUUUAAUGCAAGAAAAUAUUCGCAGAGGUCGAAGCAAUAUAUUUGAGAAACAGUUAGGGAUUUUUAAUAAUAAAAAUUGUGAUAUCAUUCACAUGACGAAAAGCAUAAAUAAAACUUAACUUUUUUUCGUUCAA